rnacentral:tRNA from 1 species
GUAUAUAUAAUUUAAAUAAAAUAUUAAACUGUGACUUUAAUUAUGAGAGUUAAAAC